UACGAAGGGGGCUAGCGUUGCUCGGAAUCACUGGGCGUAAAGCGCACGUAGGCGGAUCGUUAAGUCAGGGGGUGAAAUCCUGGAGCUCAACUCCAGAACUGCCUUUGAUACUGGCGACCUUGAGUUCGGGAGAGGUGAGUGGAACUGCGAGUGUAGAGGUGAAAUUCGUAGAUAUUCGCAAGAACACCAGUGGCGAAGGCGGA
rnacentral:rRNA from 1 species